AUAUGUAUCAUCUGGGGAUCUUAUUAAAAGGAAGACUCUGAUUUGUUAAGUCUAGAGUGGGGCCUGAGAGUCCCCAUUUCUAUCAGAUUCAAGGUGAUGGUUCA
rnacentral:pre_miRNA from 1 species